rnacentral:rRNA from 1 species
CCUACGGGAGGCUGCAGUGAGGAAUCUUGGUCAAUGUACGCACGUCUGAACCAGCCAUGCCUCGUGCAGGUUGACGGCUCUCUGAGUUGUACACUGCUUUUGUACGAGGGUAAUAUCACAUACGUGUAUCUGCUUGAAAGUAUCGUACGAAUAAGGAUCGGCUAACUCCGUGCCAGCAGCCGCGGUAAUACGGAGGAUCCAAGCGUUAUCCGGAUUUAUUGGGUUUAAAGGGUGCGUAGGCGGUUGUAUAAGUUAGAUGUGAAAAUUCGGGGCGCAACCACGGACGUGCCUGUAAAACUGUAUGACUAGAGAAGAGAUGCGGUAGGCGGAAGGUAUGGUGUAGCGGGGAAAUGCGUAGAGAUCAUACAGAACACCGAUUGCGAAGGCAGCUUACCAAACUAUAUCUGACGUUGAGGCACGAAAGCGUGGGGAGCAAACAGGAUUAGAUACCCUUGUAGUC